AGCCGCUGCGACAGAGGUGCUUUAGUCCGUGGCUGUGGACGCAGCACCAGACACUGCAGGAACGGUGAGGGCUGUGUAUCCGAGGCGGCGGCAGCCAGAAUCUGACCGCAAGUCCGGGUCUCCAACGCCGCGCCGGCUGCUAAGGUGCUGUCGCUCAGCGGCGUGCUCGCCGUGCACAGCCCGAAGGGCCAAUUCAGCCAGGCUGCUGAACCGGCUGAAGGAGAAGCUGCUGGCAGGUUACUCUGCCCUGAAGAAGGAUGGACAGAGCCUCUCAGCGCUGAUGAAGAGCGACAAAGCAGUCCAGCCCAGACUGGGUGGGCUAGUGGUGGCACUCAGAAUCUCCCCCUGAAAUUCCAGCCACCAUGUUUCAUGUGAGGUUGUUGCCUCUAACCCUGUGAAGUGAAUAGGCUGAUGGUCUUAUGUGGCUGAUGCCCUGUAAACCUAACAGAGAACGUUGGCGGCCUCACCUGAGCAUCCUCAGCACGUCGGCGGCAUAGGGAAGGUGGCUCAACGAGUGAAGGCACUUGUCCCCAAGACCUAAGACUUGAGUUUCGGCCCCUGGGCAACCUACGUGAUGGAGGGAGAGAAGCAGCUCCAGUAAGCUGUCCGCAUCCACCCCUACCCCACACAUGAGCAAUGAAUAAAAGGUUUUUAAUUUCAAAACUAA